CAAUAGCGUAUAUUUAAGUUGUUGCAGUUAAAAAGCUCGUAGUUGGAUUUCGGGUGGGACGCAGCGGUCUCGCAUUGCGUUUGUACUGCUGCAGCCCUCCUUCUUGCCGGGGGCGGCCUGUCGGACUUCACUGUCUGCGGGUCAGAAUCGGCGAUGUUACUUUGAGUAAAUUAGAGUGUUCAAAGCAAGCUUACGCUCUGAAUAUAAUAGCAUGGGAUAACACGACAGGACUCUGGCCUAUCGUGUUGGUCUAUAGGACCAGAGUAAUGAUUAAGAGGGACAGUCGGGGGCAUUCGUAUUCCGUUGUCAGAGGUGAAAUUCUUGGAUUUACGGAAGACGAACAUCUGCGAAAGCAUUUGCCAAGGAUGUUUUCAUUG
rnacentral:rRNA from 1 species